rnacentral:tRNA from 1 species
GGGCCUGUAAUCUAGCCUGGAUAAUUGUGAGAUAUUUUAUCGCACGAUCCUAGGGGUGCCCGGCUUCGGACUGGGAUGUUAGAUGGAAUAUUCCAUCGACCCAAAGUCGCAGGUUCAAAUCCUGCCAGGCCCA